rnacentral:lncRNA from 1 species
AGGCAAAAAAUCAACAGAAAUUUGAAAGCUCUAUGCGCGGUCCCACGAUGGCCACUUCAUUUCACCUCGCCUGACCUCCACCAUGGACCACUGCAUCGGAAAUCUCUUCUGGCAGCGGCAGUCACCAGAAAUAGAAAAUGGACCUACCUCCCGCCUUGUCUCAUCUUCUUGGUCACGAAUCUAACAUCCAAAAUUCCUAAUUUUUUGCCUAAGUCCACAAUCGAAACCAAAUUCUCAAGAAUCCUAAGAAGUUCAAUCCCUAAUUACACCUCCACGGAUGAAAUUGGAAGCUCAUGGUGUUAGGGAUUUGCAUUAGCUCGAUGUAGGGUGCAAUAUGGCAAUCAAAACGCGAAGAAAUAAUGAAGAUGGACCUACCUCUGAAGCUGAGACUUGCUCCGACAAGUGUUGAUCGAAGAAGAUGAAGACGACAAAUCACUUGUUCAAGAGGUACGGUAUUGUCUUUCUCUUCUUCUGAUUUACUUUUCUUCCAAUUCUUCUUCUUCCAAAAUUAUAUAGUGUGAUGAAUUCAGAUCGAUGAGGUUGAGCUCUCUCUUCUUGAAGCUUCAAUGUGAAACUUCAAUGGAGUUUAGAAAUUGAGCUUUGAGUGUGAGAGGGAGAGGAUUCAGAGAGAAUUUAGAAGUUUGAGGGUAAUGAUUACAAGGGCUGAAAUGAUGAUGAUAAUCAUGAUUAAAUAGGUAUUACGUUUGGAUUGGAGUAGGCUUAGAUUUAGGUAUGGAGUUAGUUAGGAUCCGGUUUGGAGUUGGUUAGAAUGAACUCACUGAGUUAACUCCAAACUCAGUUAGUUAGGGAGUUAGUUAAUGAAUUUAAAUUAUUUGGUUAGCUUAGUGAGUGUUAAAUCAAAUUUUGUUUCUGACUGGCAAUUGUAGGUUAUAUUUGAAAUGCAAUUCAGUGGAAUUGGCUUAACAUGAGUGAUGAAACCUUCAAUACCAACUGAACUUGUGACCUAGUUCAGGAAGUGCUAUGUUGUUGGUUAAUGUUAACUGUUAUGCAUUUCUUGGUGUUGGAAUGUAGGUUAAAACAUGUUGCCAUGUGUUUAUGCUUCCACUACAUUGGACUGUUGGGGUAGGGCAUUGGUGUUAAUUUGAAAUGAAUUUGGAGCCAAUUUGCAAGUGAAUUUGAAGUUGAAUUUAGAGUUAAUUUAGGAUGGACUUGUUGUACUGAGAGUCAUCUAUAUUCUGACUUAAUUGGCCUUGCAGUCAUUCUGUAGCAUAGCUUCAAUGUGUUAAACCAAGUCAGUUUUGAGUCAAUUUUGGUGUUCGCAUUGAGUUGAUUAUGCUUUUCCCUGGAAACAUUAUGCAGAUUAACCUGUUCUAUUUUGAACUGUUGGAGUUGCAGGUUUUACUUGCACUGUUGUGAAUAGGUAUUGGUUGUUGUGCUAGGUUGAGAUGCUUGUUAGUGGAUGAUGGUUUUGAUGUUGCUGCAACAUAUAUGCAUUGUUGAUGAGCUGACUGAACUGUUAUUGUAAUUAGCUACAAGUUUGCAUAUGGUUUGAAGAUGCCUUGUAGACUGUCUGCUUCGUAGGAUUUAUGUUUAAAGGAUAAUUGCAGGUUUGCAUUGCUUAUGAUGUUUGGCCAUAUUGGGAUGCAACUAUAGCUUGGAAUAAGUGCGGUUCAUGUUUGGCUUUAUUUGCUCUAUUGCAGGUUUGGUUGGAUGCAAGACAUGAUGGUUCAUUGUUGGGUUGUACUUGCAUUGCCAACUGACUUGGUCUGGAUGCAACCUUGCAUGAUGUCGUGAUUCUCUUGGCCAUAGCCAUGUUCAGGUAAUGAUAAGCCCAUGUUUUAUUUCCUUUGUGAUGUACCAGAGUUGCAACAGACUUUUCAAAUGGCCAUUCCAUGAUGCAUAAGCUGACUGGUUUAGCUGAUUUGGUAUGGUGCCAUGGUGAGGUCAGACAAUGCAAAGUGUUGUGGCUGCUAUGAGGCAUGCAGGAUAGUCAUAAGGUAUUUGUUGCUAAACUGAAAUGCAAUGCCAUGAUGUAUGCUUGCCAUGUUCUUUUGCUUCCUGUUGUAAAUUGUGUCUCGAGUUUGGUUCAUGGUAUGCUCAAAUACAUGGCCUUGAUUAAUGCAUAAUUAUUUGACAUAUGUGUGCAGGUCUUGCUUUGCAGCAUGUUGUUUUUUAUAUGCAUUAGCUGCAGGAUACAUGAUGGUUUGUUGUCUUGCAAGUUGAAGGAUGCUAGGCAUGGUGUAGCAAGGCAAGCAGGGAAAAUGGCCUGAGUUGGCAGCAUGUGUUCUGACUUGUUGUAGCAUGAACCUGGCAGGUAAUAAUGCAUUAUUGGCUUGAUGUUAAUGAUGAUGAAGCUACUGUCAACAAUGUUGUCAAGGUUGGAAUUGUAGAUUACUAUGCUUUGGUUUUGGUUUGUAAUUUAUGUGUGUGUAUGAUCACUUGGUGUUAGAUCUGUUUUAGACUUGGAUUAUGGUUAAGUAAUAGUUCUUGAACUUGUAAUGGUUAUGUCAUGAAGUCAUGUUUGGAUGAAUGGACACUUAUGUUAGGGUAGUGAUAUGUUUCUUCAUUCAUUGAGCAUAUGGCUUAUUCUAUUUUAAAAUCAAGGGCAAGGGGCUAACCUGUUUCUAUUUGAAGUUCAUGACAAUGUGCUAAUUUAUAUGGUUAUGAUAUUGGUUGGUUUUGUAG